GACGAACGCUGGCGGCGUGCUUAACACAUGCAAGUCGAACGGAAAGGCCCUGCUUGCAGGGUGCUCGAGUGGCGAACGGGUGAGUAACACGUGGGUGAUCUGCCCCUUACUUUGGGAUAAGCCUGGGAAACUGGGUCUAAUACUGGAUAGGACCAUGCUGUAGGUGGUGUGGUGGAAAGAUUAGUUUCGGUAAGGGAUGAGCUCGCGGCCUAUCAGCUUGUUGGUGGGGUAAUGGCCUACCAAGGCGUCGACGGGUAGCCGGCCUGAGAGGGUGGACGGCCACAUUGGGACUGAGAUACGGCCCAGACUCCUACGGGAGGCAGCAGUGGGGAAUAUUGCACAAUGGGCGCAAGCCAGAUGCAGCGACGCCGCGUGGGGGAUGACGGCCUUCGGGUUGUAAACUCCUUUCAGCCAUGACGAAGCCCUUGUGGUGACGGUAGUGGUAGAAGAAGCACCGGCUAACUACGUG
rnacentral:rRNA from 1 species